GCAGGUGAAUGCAACGUCAAGCGAUGGGCGUUGCGCUCCAUAUUGUCUUAUUUCUUACGUUUAGAAUUACUGCAUAGCACAAUUGAUUCAUACCCUGCCGGUCUUUCAGACCGGCUUUU
rnacentral:sRNA from 1 species